GACCUGAGAUGAGUGAGAGGUUUGUGACAGGGUGAUCAGAGUAGUCGUCUAGUCAGCGAAGCGAAAUUUCAGUAAACAAAAUGCUUACUAUUAACAAGCGAAUUAAUACACUGAUAAUUUGAACGAAAGGGAAUACGGUUCCAAUUCCGUACCUGUGAGUAUCCGUUUGUUAUUAAAUAUGGGCCUCGUGCUCAUCCUGGCAACAGGAACGACCAUAAAGAAGCCGUCGAGAGAUAUCGGAAGAGUUUUCUUUUCUGUUUUAUAGCCGUACUACCAUGGAAGUCUUUCGCAGAGAGAUAUGGUAGAUGGGCUAGAAGAGCAUGACAUAUACUGUUGUGUCGAUAUUUUCUCCUCGGACCUUGAAAAUUUAUGGUGGGGACACGCAAACUUCUCAACAGGCCGUACCAAUAUCCGCAGCUGGUCUCCAAGGUGAAGAGUCUCUAGUCGAUAGAAUAAUGUAGGUAAGGGAAGUCGGCAAAUUAGAUCCGUAACUUCGGGAUAAGGAUUGGCUCUGAAGAUUGAGAUAGUCGGGCUUGAUUGGGAAACAAUAACAUGGUUUAUGUGCUCGUUCUGGGUAAAUAGAGUUUCUAGCAUUUAUGUUAGUUACUUGUUCCCCGGAUAGUUUAGUUACGUAGCCAAUUGUGGAACUUUCUUGCUAAAAUUUUUAAGAAUACUAUUUGGGUUAAACCAAUUAGUUCUUAUCAAUUAUAACGAUUAUCAAUUAACAAUCAAUUCAGAACUGGCACGGACUUGGGGAAUCCGACUGUCUAAUUAAAACAAAGCAUUGUGAUGGCCCUAGCGGGUGUUGACACAAUGUGAUUUCUGCCCAGUGCUCUGAAUGUCAAAGUGAAGAAAUUCAAGUAAGCGCGGGUCAACGGCGGGAGUAACUAUGACUCUCUUAAGGUAGCCAAAUGCCUCGUCAUCUAAUUAGUGACGCGCAUGAAUGGAUUAACGAGAUUCCUACUGUCCCUAUCUACUAUCUAGCGAAACCACAGCCAAGGGAACGGGCUUGGAAUAAUUAGCGGGGAAAGAAGACCCUUUUGAGCUUGACUCUAAUCUGGCAGUGUAAGGAGACAUAAGAGGUGUAGAAUAAGUGGGAGAUAUUAGACCUCGGUGUGGUAUCGUCAAUGAAAUACCACUACUCUUAUUGUUUCCUGAAUCCACCACAG
rnacentral:ncRNA from 1 species